rnacentral:rRNA from 1 species
GACGAACGCUGGCGGCGUGCUUAACACAUGCAAGUCGAACGAUGAAGCUAGAGCUUGCUCUGGUGGAUUAGUGGCGAACGGGUGAGUAACACGUGAGUAACCUGCCCCGAACUCUGGGAUAACUGCUGGAAACGGUAGCUAAUACCGGAUAUGACCAAUGAAGGCAUCUUCUGUUGGUGGAAAGAAUUUCGGUUCGGGAUGGACUCGCGGCCUAUCAGCUUGUUGGUGAGGUAACGGCUCACCAAGGGGACGACGGGUAGCCGGCCUGAGAGGGGGAUCGGGCACACGGGGACUGAGACACGGCCCAGACUCCUACGGGAGGCAGCAGUGGGGAAUAUUGCACAAUGGGCGCAAGCCUGAUGCAGCAACGCCGCGUGAGGGAUGACGGCCUUCGGGUUGUAAACCUCUUUUAGCAGGGAAGAAGCGAAAGUGACGGUACCUGCAGAAAAAGCACCGGCUAACUACGUGCCAGCCGCCGCAGUAA